rnacentral:lncRNA from 1 species
CUUUUUCUCUACCUUCCCCUUUCCUCCACCAGGCUGAUGCUUGAUGUUAUCCGUGGAGCCGAUUUUGGAACGUACAUUUUUCAGGUCGGGAGCAGCAGCACUGCUGGUCGGGCGCAGCGGCUUGGGGGCAGCGCUGGGUUUGGUUGCAGCCUUUGCAGGUGGUUUCUUUGCAUCCGCAGCGGUGGUGGAGGUGGUGGUGGUGGGUUUGGUUGCUGCAGGUUUGGGUUUGGGGCGGCUGGUGGCUGCGCUGGGCACGGCUGUGGUGCUGGUGGUGGUGGUGGUGGUGGUGGAAGUGGUGGCACUGCUCUUCACAGUGCUUCCAGCAGCGCUCUUAGGGCGGGCCAGGUCUGAUGGUGACUUCGCAGUGGUCUUCUUGGCAUCUGCAGGCUUUGCAUCAG